rnacentral:rRNA from 1 species
AGGAUAAACGCUGGCGGCGUGCCUAACACAUGCAAGUCGAACGUCCUUGCGGUCUUCUUCUUCGGAGGAGGACCGCGAGGGAGUGGCGGACGGGUGAGUAACACAUGGGUACCUGCCUUUCAGUGAGGAAUACCGGCGAGAAAUCGCCGACAAGACCGCAUAGGCUUCCUUCGGUAGCCCGAGGGAAGCAAAGUUACUUCGCGAGAGGUGACGCUGGAAGAGGGGCCUGUGGCCGAUUAGCUAGUUGGGGGGGUAACGGGCCUCCCAAGGCGACGAUCGGUAGCUGGUCUGAGAGGACGAUCAGCCACACUGGGAUUGAGAACGGCCCAGACUCCUACGGGGGGCAGCAGUGAGGAAUUUUCGUCAAUGGGGGCAACCCUGAACGAGCAACGCCGCGUGCAGGAAGAAGGUUUCGGAUCGUAAACUGCUUUUCUCGGGGAAGAGAACGGACGGUACCCGAGGAAUCGAGCCCCGGCUAACUACGUGCCAGCAGCCGC